CGCGGGGUGGAGAAGUUGGUAUCUCGUCGGGCUCAUAACCCGAAGGCCGCAGGUUCAAGUCCUGCCCCCGCCACCA
rnacentral:tRNA from 2 species